GGAGAGGUGGCAGAGUGGUCGAAUGCGGCGGUCUCGAAAACCGUUAGGGGGUUUGCGCCCCCUCGAGGGUUCGAAUCCCUCCCUCUCCGCCA
rnacentral:tRNA from 1 species